GGGUCAGUAGGUUGGUCGUGCCACCGGUACGUACUGGUCUCACUGAUUCCUCCUUCCUGAAGAACCGUAAUGCCAUUAAUUUGGUGUUGCGGGGAAACAGGACUGUUACUUUGAAAAAAUUAGAGUGUUUAAAGCAAGCUAACGCUUGAAUACAUUAGCAUGGAAUAAUGAGAUAGGACGACCGAUCCUAUUUUGUUGGUUUCUAGGAUUGACGUA
rnacentral:rRNA from 1 species